AAUCAGCGAGACUCCGUGGGCGUAGGACCCUCGGAGCCAGGUGCGGGAUAUAGUCUCGUGGUGCGCCGUUUUUCAAGCCCGUCAGAAAAGCGCAGUAUUCGUGUGGGAGUGACCCAAUUUUCCAGAUGGAGUCUCGCUUUGUUGCCCAGGCUGGAGUGCCUUGGCGCGAUCUCGGCUCACUGCAGCCUCCGCCUCCCUGGUUCAAACAAUUCCUGCCUCAGCCUCCUGAGUAGCUGGGACUAUAGGCUCCCGCCACCGUGCCGGGAUAAUUUUUGUAUUUUUUAGUAGAGACGGUGUUUCACCAUAUUGGCCAGGCUGGUCUCGGACCCUUGACCUUGUGAUCUGCCUGCCUCAGCCUCUCAAAGUGCUGGGAUUACAGUAGGGACGGGGUUUCACCGUGUUAGCCAGGAUGGUCUCGAUCUCCUGACGUCGUGAUCCAGCCACCUCGGCCUCCCAAAAGAGCCACAGAAUCUCACAGCUGUCUCAGAAUUCCUCCUCCUGGGACUCUCAGAGGAUCCAGAACUGCAGCCCAUCCUCGCUGGGCUCUUCCUGUCCAUGUACCUGGUCACGGUGCUGGGGAACCUGCUCAUUAUCCUGGCCAUCGGCUCUGACUCCCACCUCGACACCCCCAUGUACUUCUUCCUCUCCAACCUGUCCUUGCCUGACAUCGGUUUCACCUCGGCCACGGUCCCCAAGAUGAUUGAGGAGAUGCAAUCGCAUAGCAGAGUCAUCUACCAUGGGGACUGCCUGACACAGAUGUCUUUCUUUGUCCUUUUUGCAUGUAAGGAUGACAUGAUCCUGACUGUGAUGGCCUAUGACUGGUUUGUGGCCAUCUGUCACCCCCUGAACUACCCAGGCAUCAUGAAUCCUCACCUCUGUGUCUUAUUAGUUUUGGUGCCUUUUUUCCUUAGCCUGUUGGAUUCCCAGCUGCACAAUUUGAUUGUGUUACAAUUCAUCUGCUUCAAGAAUGUGGAAAUCUCUAAUUUUUUCUGUGACCCGUUUCAACGUCUCAACCUUGCCUGUUCUGACAGUGACAUCAAUAACAUAUACAUAUAUUUAGAUAGUACUAUAUUUGGUUUUCUUCGCAUUUCAGGGAUCCUUUUGUGUUACUAUACAGUUGCCUUCCCCAUUCUAAGAAUUCCAUCCUCAGAUGGGAAUUAUAAAGCCUUCUCCACCUGAGGCUCUCGCCUGGCAGUUGUUUGCUUAUUUUAUGGAACAGGCAUUGGCGUGUACCUGACUUCCGCUGUGUCAUCAUCCCCCAGGAAUGAUGUGGUGGCGUCAGUAAUGUACGCUGUGGUGGUCACCCCCAUGCUGAACCCCUUCAUCUGCAGCCUGAGAAACAGGGACAUUCAAAGUGCCCUGUGGAGGCUGCACAGCAGAACAGUCUAAUCUCAUGAUCUGUUCCAUCCUUUUUCUUGUGUGCGUUAGAAAGGGCAAGCACAUUAAAUCUCUACAUCUGCAAAUCCUACCCCCUUGGUCACAUUAUUUUUGUUGCUUGAUGGCUUUUAUUCCUUUCCACAUUUCCUAUGUGAAUAUUGUCUUCUUUGUUAUGCCUUUAACUGGAAUGAUGAGUAUUCUGGGAUCCUUUGUUUAGCGUAAACAUCACGACUGAAUCCUCUCUACCUAGGUGGCCUCCUUUAGUUUCUGAGCAAUAAACCUGUUUUCCAGGUGAAAUCACAACCAUCUUUUCAUAUACAGGAAGUCCUGACUUCAUUUUGUGUUUGCCUGAAAAUUGACUUUAUGGAAACAAUGUACAGUAGGUCCUCCAACACCACUGUUUUGUUCAAAGUUGUUUACUUAUAACGUUGAUGAGGAAUAAAUUGGUUUCACUAU